UAGGGAAUCUUCGGCAAUGGACGAAAGUCUGACCGAGCAACGCCGCGUGAGUGAAGAAGGUUUUCGGAUCGUAAAACUCUGUUGUUAGAGAAGAACAAGGAUGAGAGUAGAAUGUUCAUCCCUUGACGGUAUCUAACCAGAAAGCCACGGCUAACUACGUGCCAGCAGCCGCGGUAAUACGUAGGUGGCAAGCGUUGUCCGGAUUUAUUGGGCGUAAAGCGAGCGAAGGCGGGUUCUUAAGUCUGAUGUGAAAUCCCCCGGCUCAACCGGGGAGUGGCAUUGGAAACUGGGAAACUUGAGUGCAGAAGAGGAGAGUGGAAUUCCAUGUGUAGCGGUGAAAUGCGUAGAUAUAUGGAGGAACACCAGUGGCGAAGGCGGCUCGCUGGUCAAUAACUGACGCUGAGGCUCGAAAGCGUGGGGAGCAAACAGG
rnacentral:rRNA from 1 species